GAUGAACGCUGGCGGCGUGCCUAAUACAUGCAAGUCGAGCGAACAGACGAGGAGCUUGCUCCUCUGACGUUAGCGGCGGACGGGUGAGUAACACGUGGAUAACUUCCCUUUAAGACUGGGAUACCUUCGGGAAACGGGGGCUAAUACGGGUUAAUUUAUGGAACGGCUUGGUUCAUUAGUGAAGGCGGGUUUUGUUGUACCUAUUAGAUGGAUCCGCGCCGCAUUAGCUAGUUGGUAAGGUAACGGCUUACCAAGGCAACGAUGCGUAGCCGACCUGAGAGGGUGAUCGGCCACACUGGAACUGAGACACGGUCCAGACUCCUACGGGAGGCAGCAGUAGGGAAUCUUCCGCAAUGGGCGAAAGCCUGACGGAGCAACGCCGCGUGAGUGAUGAAGGUCUUCGGAUCGUAAAACUCUGUUAUUAGGGAAGAACAAAUGUGUAAGUAACUAUGCACGUCUUGACGGUACCUAAUCAGAAAGCCACGGCUAACUACGUG
rnacentral:rRNA from 1 species